GGGAGAUUAACUCAGUUGGCUAGAGUGACUCGCUUACAACGAGUAAGUCGGGGGUUCGAGUCCCUCAUCUCCCA
rnacentral:tRNA from 2 species